rnacentral:lncRNA from 10 species
GCAGUUUGAUCUCAGACUGCUGUGCUAGCAAUCAGCGAGACUCCCUGUGAGUAGGACCCUCCGAGCCAGGUGCGGCUUAUAAUCUCGUGGUGCGCCGUUUUUUAAGCCGGUCGGAAAAGCGCAGUAUUCGGGUGGGAGUGACCCGAUUUUCCAGAGAUGGGGUUUCACCGUGUUAGCCAGGAUGGUCUCGAUCUCCUGACCUCGUGAUCUGCCCACCUCGGCCUCCCAAAGUGCUGAGAUUACAGAGGUGGUUACAGAAGAGGGCUACUUUCUUUGAAGUUUUCUGUGCAAUCCAAUGGCUAAGGACUGGUCAACCAUCACAUUAUCAUUUCAACAAACUCUGUAAUAACAGAAAUAAGUGAAUACUACUGUUAUCUCUGUCUUACAGGUUGAUUUUUGAGUAGUGAACCAGCUUUGCAUUCCUGGGGAUGGAAGAAGAUACUUGGAAAAAUCAGGGAAGAGUGAAGAAGAUACUUCAAAAAAUCGGGGAAGAUUUUCAUCAUAAGGUCCAAGCAAAGGCAUGAGUAUAAGAUAUUCCUGAGCCUGAGUCUACUGACAAAUAUACCACAU